UCCGUAGGUGAACCUGCGGAAGGAUCAUUACCGAGUUGAUUCGAGCUCCGGCUCGACUCUCCCACCCAAUGUGUACCUACCUCUGUUGCUUUGGCGGGCCGCGGUCCUCCGCACCGGCGCCCUUCGGGGGGCUGGCCAGCGCCCGCCAGAGGACCAUAAAACUCCAGUCAGUGAACUUCGCAGUCUGAAAAACAAGUUAAUAAACUAAAACUUUCAACAACGGAUCUCUUGGUUCUGGCAUCGAUGAAGAACGCAGCGAAAUGCGAUAAGUAAUGUGAAUUGCAGAAUUCAGUGAAUCAUCGAAUCUUUGAACGCACAUUGCGCCCCUUGGUAUUCCGAGGGGCAUGCCUGUUCGAGCGUCAUUUCAACCCUCAAGCUCUGCUUGGUAUUGGGCUCCGUCCUCCACGGACGCGCCUUAAAGACCUCGGCGGUGGCGUCUUGCCUCAAGCGUAGUAGAAAACACCUCGCUUUGGAGCGCACGGCGUCGCCCGCCGGACGAACCUUUGAAUUAUUUCUCAAGGUUGACCUCGGAUCAGGUAGGGAUACCCGCUGAACUUAAGCAUAUCAAUAAGCGGAGGA
rnacentral:rRNA from 1 species